AACGAACGCUGGCGGCAUGCCUAACACAUGCAAGUCGAACGAGACCUUCGGGUCUAGUGGCGCACGGGUGCGUAACGCGUGGGAAUCUGCCCUUGGGUUCGGAAUAACAGUGAGAAAAUUGCCGCUAAUACCGGAUGAUGUCUUCGGACCAAAGAUUUAUCGCCCAGGGAUGAGCCCGCGUAGGAUUAGCUAGUUGGUGGGGUAAUGGCCUACCAAGGCGACGAUCCUUAGCUGGUCUGAGAGGAUGAUCAGCCACACUGGGACUGAGACACGGCCCAGACUCCUACGGGAGGCAGCAGUGGGGAAUAUUGGACAAUGGGCGCAAGCCUGAUCCAGCAAUGCCGCGUGAGUGAUGAAGGCCUUAGGGUUGUAAAGCUCUUUUACCAGGGAUGAUAAUGACAGUACCUGGAGAAUAAGCUCCGGCUAACUCCGUG
rnacentral:rRNA from 1 species